GAGCUCACUUGGGCAGCACAUAUACUAAAAUUGGAACAAUACAGAGAAGAUUAGCUUGGCCCCAUCGAAAGGAUGACACACAAAUUUGUGAAGCGUUCCAUAUUAAA